CUGGAUUUAUGAUCACCCAAGACCAGAAAUAUCCUAUCCACUGGGUUACAGGAGCACCUCAGGAACAAACACAGCAAGAGAACUUGUACAAUCUCACUAUUAAACUGGGGGAUCUAAGAAAACCACAGAGACAGCUCUCACAUCCUUGGGCUGAGAUGGAGUUUCCUUACUGAAAUAAAUGUUUGUUCAAGUUCAGCCACUGACAAGGUGGCAUGCCCACUGACUUGGUGGUGCUUUUUCCUGUCUGAGCUGAGGCCGCAUCUCACCAGUCUGGAGUGUCCAGGCCCCUCUGUAGUCUGCUCGACUGACCAGGUAAGUCCUGCUCCUGGGUCCCCAUCUAAAGAUGG
rnacentral:lncRNA from 1 species